rfam:Triticum aestivum genome assembly, contig: Triticum_aestivum_CS42_TGACv1_scaffold_604766_7DL
GUAGUACUCCCUCCGUCCCAAAUUACUUGUUGCUCAAAUAAUUUGGGACAUAGAUACAUCCAUUUUAGCAACAAGUAAUUUGGGACGGAGGGAGUACAUC